rnacentral:rRNA from 1 species
AGAUUAAGUUAUUAAGGGCGCACGGUGGAUGCCUUGGCACUAGAAGCCGAUGAAGGACGUUACUAACGACGAUAUGCUUUGGGGAGCUGUAAGUAAGCUUUGAUCCAGAGAUUUCCGAAUGGGAAACCCAGCAUGAGUUAUGUCAUGUUAUCGAUAUGUGAAUACAUAGCAUAUCAGAAGGCACACCGGAGAACUGAAACAUCUUAGUACCCGGAGGAAGAGAAAGAAAAUUCGAUUCCCUUAGUAGCGGCGAGCGAAACGGGAAGAGCCCAAACCAACAGCUGCUUGUUGGGGUUGUAGGACACUCUAUACGAGUUACAAAGGACGACAUUAGACGAAUCAUCUGGAAAGAUGAAUCAAAGAAGUAUAAUCCUGUAGUCGAAAAUGUUGUCUCUCUUGAGUGGAUCCUGAGUACGACGGAGCACGUGAAAUUCCGUCGAAUCUGGGAGGACCAUCUCCUAAGGCUAAAUACUCUCUAGUGACGAUAGUGAACCAGUACCGUGAGGAAAGGUGAAAAGCACCCGGAAGGGGAGUGAAAUAGAACCUGAAACGUGUGCUUACAAGUAGUCAGAGCCCGUUAAUGGGUGAUGGCGUGCCUUUGGUAGAAUGAACCGGCGAGUUACGAUUUGAUGCAAGGUUAAGCAGUAAAUGUGGAGCCGUAGCGAAAGCGAGUCUGAUAGGGCGUUUAGUAUUUGGUCGUAGACCCGAAACCAGGUGAUCUACCCUUGUCAGGUGAAGUUCAGGUAACACUGAAUGGAGGACCGAACCGACUUACGUUGAAAAGUGAGCGAUGAACUGAGGGUAGCGAGAAAUUCCAAUCGAACCUGGAGAUAGCUGGUCUCUCCGAAAUAGCUUUAGGGCUAGCCUCAAGUGAUGAUUAAUUGGAGGUAAGCACUGUUGGACGAGGGCCCCUCUCGGGUUACCGAAUUCAGACAAACUCCGAAUGCCAAUUAAUUUAACUUGGGAGUCAGAACAUGGGUGAUAAGGUCCGUGUUCGAAAGGGAAACAGCCCAGACCACCAGCUAAGGUCCCAAAAUAUAUGUUAAGUGGAAAAGGAUGUGGCGUUGCCCAGACAACUAGGAUGUUGGCUUAGAAGCAGCCAUCAUUUAAAGAGUGCGUAAUAGCUCACUAGUCGAGUGACACUGCGCCGAAAAUGUACCGGGCUAAACAUAUUACCGAAGCUGUGGAUUGUCCUUU